CAGCACACAUAUGCUGGUGGAGAAACAAUACAAAGAAAUGAAAUUAGGUUUCUUUUGAACCAAAUUCAGUUCACAAGCAGAGAGAGGAAAGUGGAGAUCCAAGUAUAAAGUAUGCCGUUGGUUCCAGCAGCAGUCGACGGAGUCUGCAAAUACCAAGGAGCAUCAGUUCUACUUCAGACGACAAGGAGGAGAAGAUGUUCCUGCUGUCAUCGUUUGUGGGUGAAAGUAUGAGUAAAACAUCAGUCAAGAAAAGGGGAUCUGUUGCUGUUCGAAAAUGGGUUUUGAUGGCUUGUUUAAUUUGAAGAAGAUGGAGCUGUUGGUACGAGUUAGCAGCCAGGGAAUGAGCUUGAUGAGACGAACAACUGCGUUGCUGAAGAAUUGAUGUUGUUGUUGUUGGUUUGUGACAAUAAAUGGCGCAGAUUGAUGAAGAUUUGCAGUUCCUAGAAGAAUGGAGUUAUGGGUUUGUGUUUAAUUGAAAUUACAGGGAAUUUGAGCACUGAACACAUUUGAUAGAGUUAUCUCUGUCACCAUUUUAGAAUACACACAGCAGGUGUUUGACAAACAGCCUGAGAGAGAGCAGUUCUGCACCAACUUCUUUCUGUUGGAUGCUGAUUGAACUAAUGUGUGCUGGUGGUUCUCCACAAUUUGGAGAUGCUCUGAAGAUCAAGGAGAUGGCAUUGCAGGUUGAGCUGAGGUGGUGUAUGAGGUGCUGCAAGUGAUGACUUUUGAAAUGCAGGCCUGAAGCUAUGGGUGUUGUUGGUGCUUAUUGAAAUGCAUUGUAGGGUAGCUGGCCUAGAUGGAGAGCUGCAGGUCUUGAUGCUGUAGACAUGAAAAAUGAGCAAAUGCAGGUCUGGGUUGAAGGAGGACUGGUCGGUAUUGCAUGGAAAUAUGCAAAGCAGGUGGAGUUAUUGGCUACGCGAAAGAUGGGAAGGACCUGAUGCUGUUGUUACCGUGGCCAGAAUGGGUUGUUUACAAUGGGUUGCUGCUAGCAUGGUACUCUGAGCUGAACUGCAGUCGAAAUGUUGCUGCUGUAUUGUGUUGAUGCUGCAGACAGUAAGCAGUUGCUGCUGAAAUAUGGAGGAGGUUCAAAUGGGUUUUCAAAUCUGAAGACUGUGGCCUGGAAUUAAGCUGGAGAAAUAGGAAGAGAAUGUGUUGCUAAUGAAAUUGAAUUGGCACUGGAAAUGAUAUUUGAGCAGAAUGCGUAUUGUGGUGUGUUGCUGGUGAUCAAAUGGGUUUUGCUAUGGACAAAAAUGAAGAUGCAGAUGGCUAGUGGUUGUGUGCCGCACUUGGUAAGCUACAGAGAGUGCAAUGUUGGUGGAUAGGAGCACAGCAAGAGAAUUGCAGAAGAAUGAACUGUUUCUGUGUGUUGAGUGAAACUGCAGGUUAAGUUGGUGCCGUAAAUUGUGACUGUUGGUUGAGCAGGAUUAGAAGAUAAGUGGCAGUGUUGCAGUAUGCAAAUGAGGCAGUGAACUGAUGGUGCAGAUAUCCAGUUGUAGGUUAUAUGCCUUAGCCUGAGAAGAUUUAGGUGCAAUGCAGGGAAGUUGGUUGGAACUGAAGUUGUAGGUCAGUUGAGUUGUUGCUGGUUAGCCGCGGCCAGAAGGGCAAGUGAAGUUGCGAAGUUCUGGUGCAGUUUCUGGCAGUAAGAAAGAAGGGAAGAAACCACCGGUCCGAUCCAGAUUUGGUGCAGUGGUGAUCGGUGCCUAAUAAUGCAUAUUUCUUGGCCAUUUUGUUGUCUUUUAUCACAUCCCAAGUGUUAUAAGAUCUCAUUUUAUAUCAAAUAUUGUAUUUUGGUGCGUAUGUUCAUUAGCGGGUAAUAUUGUCGGAAUAAUCUCAUUUUUGCGUUGUGGUGUAGGUACUGAUACUAAAUGGUGAACCAAAGACUGGGGGCUGGUGUAGACAAAGUAUGAGAAGUUGGUCUUGCUACUGAGAGGCUAGCACAGAUAAUAUCCAAGGAAAGGUGUGUCAUUAAAUCAUAUCUACUCAAAGCUAAAGUAAGCAACCAAACAUGCCCUUGAUGACUUCACCAACACCUAAACCUAGGCUUCCACGCGUGAGAAAAGAGGCUGUUUCUUCUCCAUUUUAUCUGUCUGUUAACCCCAUCCCUCUACUGUGUAUUCUCUAUUUUUGCCUCCCACUUUACCAUUUAACAUCAGAACCAUCACACCCGACACCACCUAAUCUCUCACCCAGAAACAUCUCCAUCCAUCUGUUCAAACACCUAAACCAGAGCCUAACCCUAAGAGGCUGUAUCUUCUCUAUACCCUAUUUCCAUCUUUCACAAAUCAAAUCAAGCUAGACCUAGAAUCAGUAAUUAUUAUGUGAGCAAGAAUAGGUUGGCUAAAUUGGUUCUCAAGAGCGAAUGAAUUGACAAGCUAGGUCUGAAAUUGUUGUUCCUUCAAACACCAUCAACAUCAGCAAUCCAGUGAAGAUAAGGUCGUGGUUGUGAAAGAUAAAAAAGAGUACUACUGCAGUGGUACCUGCAAUCUCUGCUGUGCAAACCCAAGAAGGAGGAGAAAAAAAAGAGCGAGACAACCUGUAGGUUGUGCCUAAACCCGGUCUUGUACCGGCGGUAUCGUUCCUCAACUUAAAUAUUUUUUUCUUGAAUGAUACACCAUUCUCGCAUGCAAACUGAACUAGAUACUUCAUCAUCAAACCCCUGCAACACAUUUGUAUACAUGACUCUGUGAUUGUGAGUAAACUUCUUGUUAGCUGUAUUAUUAUAUCACUGACUAUUCCGUCGAUCUUGGCAAUAUUUGUGCACUCAUCCCUGAAAUUGAUUGUCAAAAGCAUAAAUCUGUGAUAUAUCCUGACUGUCUGUUGAACUAGUAUCAUUGAUACCUUUGUGCAUGAAUGAGUAAUACUUGAGUCGCAUGUUCGCUUGUUGAAUCUGUUAUGUGAACUAUCUAAAAUCUGAAACUUACCGAUUCUGCAA